CCUGCCCCUAGAGGAUUGCAGUUGUAGCUGCUGUGUGUCACAUGUGCAUCAGUGGGUGGCAGAGAGGAGAGGGGCUAUGGCUAUGCUCAGUGUUCUGACCAAUGAACAUCUGAACGAUUGAUUAGUCACCUAACAUU
ensembl:snoRNA small nucleolar RNA SNORA17